CUGGGGCUAUCUACCUUCCAGCGACUGAGCAGAUGGAGAGACUUGGCAAAGGCCUUUGCAAAGGGUUUGAACUGGCCUCCUGUGUCAAAGCCCCACAGAGUGCAGGGACCUGGUCCCCCUUGGCUCAACAGUCACUCUUCAGUAAUGCCAGCUCUGCAGGUGUCGUCUGCCUUCUGCUUCACCCCGCUUCUAGUUGCUGCCCACCUCCAGGAACCUGAGGUCAGAGAGAAACAAAACUUAUCAGCAAGAGGGGGAAUGAAGAAUAACAGCUUCCUAAUUUGGUCAGGAAACACCAAGAGUUAUUGAACCCCUGGUCUGUACCUAAAACUUCUCAGUACUGCCUCAUGAGGUCAUGAUUAAUAACCCCAUUUUAAGUCAUCUAAAGUACAGAGAGGCUAGGUAAUGUGCUCAGGGAUGCUCCCAGUCCACAGCAGAGUUAGCGUUCAAAGCCUGGACUCUAUCACCGAGGACAAGAUUCCCUCUGUCCCAAAGCCCCCUCUAAGGUGGCAGUAUGGUAUUCUGGAAAGAAAGCAUAUGCCUCAGGUAACCAGCCCUGGUUCUGUCACAAACAGCCUUGAGCAAGUGUCUUCAUUCUGAUGUGGUUUUCCUGGAAAAUAAGAUUAAAGGAGACUCUCUAAGAUCCCAUCUAA